UUCGAAAAAUACACUAAAUUUGUUACAAACCAUUUCGAAUUAGUUGUUAAUAUUGAUACGAAAGAGAAAAACUUGUUUAAUUUUUUUCCACGAAAUUCAUGGAUAUAGAUGGAUAAAAUUUCGUUUAAAAUGUCUUUCAAGCAAUAUGGGGUUCGAUGAGCUUUCUGGUUGAAUCGACCACUAAUCCUUAAAUUGAUGACUUUUAAUACUUAAUAACGGUUUCGUAUCACUUCUGUGUAUCUCCUGGAAAAAAUAAAAGGGGGCAACCUCAAAGAUCAUGAUGUAAAGGCAUAAAAUAGGUGAUGAGAGGUAGGGAGUUGAACGAGGACACUAAAUAGAAGAGUAUUGGUAUUGGGAAUGCAGCACUCUGUCUGAUUGAUGUACAUUUUAAUUAUUGUAUUGUAUUUAAUUGAUCUCAAAUAAACGAUGAAAAUUG